GGCGCAUUAUGGGCCCGCAUGUGUAGAUGCAUGCCCUUAAUGUGCCUUAAAUCAGGAUAAAGUGCCUUAAAUCAUCAUGUGUAGACACACCCAGUAUUCUGCACGGGUCACUGCUUCUUGUGGGGUGCACAGUGGUGCUACAGGGCGUCUUAGGAGAUGAUCCAUGGUUUGCUUUUCCAGACAAACGCAUGGGUCGGUUGCAUAGAGUCCCCGUGAUUUCAUGAGAAAGUUGCAUGAGGAUGGUAGAGAAAGGAAGAGGAGGCUUUCAGUAUACUUUGGAUGUGCAGUGUUUCACUCGCACUUGGUUUGUCCCUCGUGUCCCAUAGAGUACUAAUGAAGGAGAGGCUGGUACAGAUUCAGCUUGAUUAUACAGGCGGGUGCAUUUUAGAGGGAGGGAGAAGGUGGGUUGAGAGCUACUUGAAAACCUGCCCAUUUCUUUGAAAGGCUAGUGCCCAGAUCCACCACUAACGUACAUCACCAUCAAUCCAUUGACUUCAAAAAGGCAGAGGCUGUCAGGCGUAGAGUCUGGUUUUGGUUUUGUGCCUAUGAUGUGUUUUAGACUGACCUAGCCGGUUGAGUUUUUCAAUUACAAAUUCUGCUCUCGAGGCGGAAGGAGUCUGAAGUGCUG